GUUUGUUCCAAUUUCAUCACCUGUUUAGCCGGCCAAUUGUAGCUCUUCCUCCGUUUUGACUCAAAUCGGCGCGCCGGCCAUUGCUCUCGCAUCGGUGAAAGAGAAAGAAGGAUCUCUUUGAAAUAGGAAUGGUACGUCUCUGCAAAGGCGAUCCUGCUGUCGUAGAGGUCCCACACCCGCUCCCCCCGCCUGCACCUCCCACCACUGCCGUCGGAGGAGAAGAGGAGGGACGGGCCGAAGCCACAGCCUCUUUGAGUUGAACCAGCGCACUCUCUCCCAGUGGUUCUCCCGGAGGCAGAAGGCGUGGGAGAGAGCUGUGCUUCAGCAGGACGUGGUGGGUACCCGCAUCCCUGACAGCGUGAGGAGAAGUACAUCUGCCUAAAGUGCGGACAGCCGAAACAGCGGCAAUUUGGCCAUAGCCAUUUGGGCACUGCUGCCGGCAAAUCAGUGCAGGAGUGGUUGGCAGAGAUGAAGGACACUCAGGGACGCUGAUCCACUGGCUGGGUGGAGGACGCUUUUAUUGUAUAUAGUUCUGUGAUCUGCCCUCUUCUUGGACCGAUACCAUGGCGAGGUGUAGAGGCUUGCGUGUGCUGAAGACCCUCAGAGCUACAUUGCCUGCAGUCCUUGGACUGAGGUGAAGCACCAGACAAAAGCCGAUCCUGCAAUGUGAACAUUGAAAUGUCAAAAGUGUGCCCUUGGCUGCAUUUGUAAUGGACACUUUUUUUAUAUGGACACAGUAAAGCUCCCAGUGGUGUGCAUCAAUGUUUCCCAUUUUGUAUAGUGCUGUUACUUUAUGUCUAAAGUUCAGCAUAAUUAAGUAUGUUUUUUAAACACAAUUGUAUUACAGUGAAGCAGCUUGUGCAUCAAUGUUUGGAUCAUUGCAUAUUGCAAUCAUUUAAGGAAAUGCUUGUGAAAGGAAAUGCUUGUCUUUUGUUUCUGAAUUUAACAAUACUUGAUUUGAGUCUUUGAAAGUGAGAACGAUUUCCUUCCUUCUCAUGCAUACAAGUCAAAGCUUCAAAGCUUUUAAUGUCCUUCCUUCUCCUGCAUCACUGACUGUCUAGACAGGCAGGCAAGCAGGCAGUCAGUCAGUCCCAAGCCAAUUAUCCCUGCCAAAUGUGUUUUGGAUUGUGUACUGCAAUCGCUGUUUUAUCUAACAAAAGUAACUAAAAAAGUCAUCAAUAGAGUCAGUGAAAAGCAAACUCUUUUCUCUGUCUUUUUUAUUUUGUCUUUUUAUUUCAGUUAGUUAAUACAUUGCAUUGAUGUUCACAAUUACAACAUCUCUGUAUAAUGCAUUUCUGCUGCAGAA